rnacentral:rRNA from 1 species
ACGAACGCUGGCGGCGUGCUUAACACAUGCAAGUCGAACGGAAAGGCCCUGCUUUUGUGGGGUGCUCGAGUGGCGAACGGGUGAGUAACACGUGAGUAACCUGCCCUUGACUUUGGGAUAACUUCAGGAAACUGGGGCUAAUACCGGAUAGGAGCUCCUGCUGCAUGGUGGGGGUUGGAAAGUUUCGGCGGUUGGGGAUGGACUCGCGGCUUAUCAGCUUGUUGGUGGGGUAGUGGCUUACCAAGGCUUUGACGGGUAGCCGGCCUGAGAGGGUGACCGGCACAAUGGGGCUGGGGUUAGGCCCCAGACCCCUACGGGGGCAGCAGUGGGGAAUAUUGCACAAUGGGCGGAAGCCUGAUGCAGCAACGCCGCGUGCGGGAUGACGGCCUUCGGGUUGUAAACCGCUUUCGCCUGUGACGAAGCGUGAGUGACGGUAAUGGGUAAAGAAGCACCGGCUAACUACGUG